CAGUGGGGAAUAUUGGACAAUGGGNGCAAGCCUGAUCCAGCCAUGCCGCGUGUGUGAAGAAGGCCUUCGGGUUGUAAAGCACUUUUGUCCGGAAAGAAAUCNNGCUGGUUAAUACCUGGCGGGGAUGACGGUACCGGAAGAAUAAGCACCGGCUAACUNCGUGCCAGCAGCCGCGGUAAUACGUAGGGUGCAAGCGUUAAUCGGAAUUACUGGGCGUAAAGCGUGCGCAGGCGGUUUUGUAAGUCAGNUGUGAAAUCCCCGGGCUCAACCUGGGAACUGCAUUUGNGACUGCAAGGCUAGAGUGCGNNAGAGGGGGGUGGAAUUCCNCGUGUAGCAGUGAAAUGCGUAGAGAUGUGGAGGAANACCGAUGGCGAAGGCAGCCCCCUGG
rnacentral:rRNA from 1 species